GCCAAGCUGACACUUAGCGAGCAAGUACGGACCUCUCCUCGCAGGCUCCGGUGGGAAAGGCUCCUGGAAGGGCGCGAGCCAGGAAAGUAGAUGAAGUGAAGAGAUGAAGACUGCGUGGGGUAGUUGUUGGAAAAGCUCGGAUCAUCCCCAACCCAGCCCCGUCUUGUCCGGCCCCAAAAGGCCCAUCUCGGCCGAGCUACUCACACUUUGUACGGCAGCCGUGGGUCCGACGUCAGCGUGAUCUUAAAGGAAACCUUCGACCUGAGGAAAAGAGCGGGAGAGAGUCAGGGUCGGGCAGCUGGACCAGGAAUUAUGGCAGUCGGUAAGCAAACACUUACAUGGUGGUGCCGGAAUGAAUCCAGAACACACGACAACUCCGCGGGGGUAGCACGACUUCCUCUAGUGUGCUGGGGACCGCCCCGCUCCACUCACGUCCACGUCUCCCUCUGCAAUCUGGGGACCUCCGAAGUUGUUGCUAUCCAACGCACUGCCUGAAAAUUGGCCCUAAGAGCUCAUGCUAGAUGGCGCUUUUAAAUUACAAAUAUCUUGUGCUUUUGCGUUUAUAUAUCUAAGAAAAAAGUAUGGAUUAUAUUUAUAAGAUAUCUUUCUAACUUUGGUAAUUUGCUACCAUAUUUUUAGUCAGGCAGAAUAAGCGUGGGCAUAGAGCGUAGGACCCUAGGUUCCAGUUGGCAGGUUGGGGCGGAAGUAAGGGUAUGGGGUAGUCGGAUGAAGAGCGAGAUGGACUUGGGGCGAAGCUCGGGGCGAGGCCGGGGGCGGGGCUGGGGCGGACGCGCUCUAAAGUUUCUAAGGCAACCUGAGCGCGGAAAAGCUUAAUUGGUGCUCCAGAAGCAGGAAUUGUAACACUGCUUUAUCAUUAGUUUUCUUCCGUCUUUCCAGCAAACCAAUCCUGUUAUAUCCUUUACAUUUCUCAUAGUUUCUCCUUCACGCUUUACUUUCCGAUACUGAUUUAUAACUAUUGAAUUUCGGUUAAGUAAGAGAGCUAUCAAGUACGAAUUAUCUAUGCCAAGACUCCCGCUGGGGUGGGUGAGAAAAAAUGAGGUUUCUACGUUUGGGGAACGUGGCGUCUAGUUGGGAAGACACAUCUAUGAACAGGAGAUUUCAGUAAUUUGUUAUAUGGUCUAAUUAAACCAGUGCGCUGAGUUGCUAAUCACUGACCACAUUUAUUCAAUUUAACAACCAACUUUGAACCCUUUCUAUUUGCCCGGCGCUAAGCUAAACUCUGGGGAAUCCAAGAUGAGUAAGGCAGGUAGGCGUCAACUCUCUAGGAUCUAACAUCCUGUGUAGUGAUGACGGAAGAAAAUUGUCCUCUAAACUUUAUUACAGAUCUAAACCUCUGUGUUUGGAAAAUAUGCGUCUGUCUCACAAUGACUGAAAUGCCCUUUUAAAACAUUAGCAUGAAUAGACAAAGGAGGAAGCAGGUAGGCAUUAAAAUAAUGGGGCAAUCUAGUUGAUCUUUAGAAUAUGCAUCAGAUUCUUAAGGAGAGAUACUUAAGAGAGGAACCAGGAAGGAACUGUAGUAGGGAUAAUGGAGAUCAAAUUCAUCUUUACAAUAAUUUUGCAGCCAACUGAUCUUCUAUGGUGACAUUUCCCAGUGGAGAGAGUUCUGGUUCUGAGUAGGCAAGUAAGACUCCAACAUUCUCAUGACAGCCAUCCUCACUUUUUAAAAUAAUGGUCUUACCAUAUAUGUAGAUGAAGCCAAAUAUUGAUUGACAGAUACAGGGAUCAACAGUUACAGCCUUAAUAGCUGAAACUAUUCAAUUAGUGGGUGUGACUAAAACUUGUGAGAAUAGUAAUAAGGAUAAAACUGUGAUUGUGUCUACCUAUUGUCAGCUAGCCAAAUAAUAAUGAAAGAGAUGAGUGUACAUAUUUACAGUCUAUAAGACUACAUAUAAUAUAUUUUGAAACAAAAUUUGCAUCCUGCUAUUUAUAGUUUGGUUUCUGCUCAUGAAUCAAAACGUGGCAAAAUCCUAAAGAGAAAAAUGGAUAUUAAUCAGAGAGCUUUUAUUGUAUGUAUAAAAAGUGGUGAAAACAGAAUUCAGUCCCACAGUGUGACUUUAGUACUCAGAUUCUGCUGCUUCAGAAAAUACAUUUGUAUAAUAUAUCAAAAUAACAUCUCUUGAGAUAUUAAAAAGCAGCUGUUUCUAAAUAUUUAGAAUUCUUUUUCACCUCAGUCCCCAACUCUGCUUCUCAUGUUUGUCUCCUCAGAGUCACAGCAUGAUUUCUGCAGCCUCCUGAGUUUUAUUUUGCUUAGGACAAGAAAGAAAUUAUAAAUGGAUUUAUUUAUAAUCAAUUUUUUUAACUUUGUGAAGGGAUUUGCAAUUGGAAAAUUUUAUAGCAAAACAAGGACCUUCUCUUUUACUGAAAAGUUAAAAUGUUGAAGUACGUUUAAUGGCUGUAAUCAGAAGCAAACUCUGGAGCAAAUUUUUGGAGAUAAUUGGCAAUGGAACAUUUUAAGACAACAAAUAGCAUAAAUGGCCUAAUGUGUUUUGGAAAAGAUCCAAUUAGUAUCAUGUAGAGGCAGAAAUGACUGUAGAAGUGCACAGUGUGACCAUGUUAGACCUCAUUAAAUGUCAAUGAAGCAUACCAAUAUUCUAUUUGCAAAUGCAUAUAAAUUUCCCAUUAUUAGAAGAAAGCCAGAAGGAAAUUAAAUUUACAUAAGGACUAAAAAGAUUUGCUUCCAUAGUCAUAGAAAUUCUUCUGACUAGUUAUUUUUAUAGCCAACUUUAUUUUUUAUAUUCCUCUGGAUGCCAAAAAAAAUUCUUUCAUUUUCACCAUAAUUUGAUUGUAUUUACGAUUAUGACUAGAACCAUCUGAUAGUCAAAUUAUGUAAUCUUGAAACAUCUGCACCUGAAUAAAUCUUAAGGUGUUCUAUUCCAAAUACUUUAUAUUACAGGGA
rnacentral:lncRNA from 1 species